UGCAGAAUCCCGUGAACCAUCGAGUCUUUGAACGCAAGUUGCGCCCGAAGCCAUUCGGCCGAGGGCACGCCUGCCUGGGCGUCACGC
rnacentral:rRNA from 1 species